rnacentral:lncRNA from 1 species
GGCAUACAGGCCAAACAGAAAAACCUACAGAGAGCAUCCAAGAGUCCCCCAUUACCUCCCAACUUGCUACUUAAACCACAGCUGAAGAAGUUGGCAAAAUGUUACAGGCUCUUAUGAGUGAGAAAAUGGUAUUUAAACUUAAGACAUAUCAAGGGGGAGACAGGAACCUGGGCAGUGGACAAAAAGGCCAGGGAAGGGUCUUCAGUGUCCUUGUCCUUGUCCUUCUUCCCUUGGGGGAAAUUUGGCAGUCAGCAGCCUUGCUCUGCUAUCUAAAUUGGACCACCAGGACAAGAUAAAAUUGAUAACAGAAAGUUUAUUCAAGAAUUGUUUGACAGACAACCCUUUUAGGUAAGGAAAAAAGUAACUACUGAAGAACAAAGAAAGUUCCAAGAGGGAAUUAACUCUAGUUCUACAAAUUCAGGACUAUACAGUGACGAUUAGGAGCUGAGUUCAUGCCUUUUAGAACUAAUUACAAUUGUUCGUAAGUACAAGUUUAACAUAAAUCUACAGCUCUUUUCUAGAGUACAAUAGUAACUAAAAUAGCUGGUUUUACAUGACAGGAAACACAAUGUCCUUUGUAACAGGUAAAUACUAAAAAAGUACAAUUUUUUCCUUUUUUUCCCUCAUAUAAAUACAUAAUGUAGGGGGAUAAAUAAUACAAAAAAGAAAAUAUUUUAACAGGCUAUAACCAAUAAAUAUAUAUGAAAAUGUUCACUAGAACACACGCUUUUUUGAGCAAUGCUGGACUUCUGCAGGCCCAGACAUCUCUCACAGUUGUUUUUACAUCCAUUAAAAUGUAAACUCUAAGUGCAACAAAAGUGUCCUGUCAGGAGGCUGAGCAAGGCACACAGGCCCUGCCCAGCCCCUGCCUGGGACAGACAGUUUGUUCAAAUAUACCCUGUUUUCACGUUAAGUCAAGAGAGCAACAGAAGAAAAGUAUAGAACCUCGUGUCACCAACUGCUUUCCGUGGAGAGGGGGAUGGAGCUGGAGCUGAGAUGGAGGCAGCAGAAUGGGCAAACCUUGAGUCCUAACAACCUGCCUGCCCUAGCCUCCACACUUUUCCUUAAAAAAAAAAGUAUAUAAUUUAUAAUAUAGGCAGCUCUUUCAGGAUCUCUCACCAUCCCUGAGCCCUCUAAAAACUGUAAUUGAUGGGGGUGGGAUGUAUAGAUAUGAAUGUUCUAGAGCAGAAAAACCGGGGGCUAGAAGUGGAGGGGGUAGGUACCUCAAUAAACCUCAAAUAAAUGGGAACAAAUUUGAGGUUUUGGGAAAGUUGGAAGGGAACGUGUUUUGUGCCCUUUGGGUUUGAAAUGUGUUUUCUUAUUUUUUAAAGGAUAAUUGAGGAAAAAAAUCAAGAUUUGGGGGGAAUUACCUACAAAGAUGUAAGGUAAGUCCGUUGGUUGGUGAUGGCCUAGCCAUCUUGUCUGGUUUUUAAAAUGUGCUUUUCUGCCUCUUCCUGUCUCGUCUUCCUCUACCCCACUCCCGGGCGUGGAAUUCCAACUUGGUAGUGCUGGAGCCCUGGGGUUGAUGGGGUCAUCUCCAAUAUGAUGUGGAUUCCUUUCCGAUGGGUUGGCAGGCAGAUGGAACAAGGGGUGGAAGACUUAAAAGCAACCUCUCAGGCCAGGGGGAGGGGAAGGAGCUCCAGGCCGGUUCUGACCAGGAAGCCUGGGUACCACCUUCUCUGGCUCCUCUUUUCAGACCUCCAGGCUGCCCCCAGAGCUCCACAGUCUCUCUCUUCCUCCCCAUCCCCUAAUCCUCGUUCGCCUUUCCCAUCACAGGUGUGUUAAUUUGGGCGCUUCUUGGAUUCUACCCUGAGGAGGAGGCGCGUGGUGAGAGGAGAGAUCUUGAUCUGCCGCUCGCUGAGGUUCAGCAGGUUGGCCAUCUCUACACGGCGAGGCCGGCACAGGUAGCGGUUAAAAUGGAACUCCUUCUCCAGCUCCACCAGCUGUGCGCUCGUGUACGCCGUCCGCGCCCGCUUGGACGCCGCCGACCCCGGGGGGCUCUUGU